rnacentral:lncRNA from 1 species
AGUUGGGGCGGGACCAUUAUUCAGGAGGACUAGGAUGUCAGAAGAGCAGGGGCCACAGGUGACUUGUGCUUGCCAUUCAGAAAGCAAGAUGUAAGCAAUAAAGCUUUGCCGCAGAAGAUUCUGGUUUGUUGCGUCUUUCCUGGCCGGUCGUGAGAACGCGUCUAAUAACAAUUGGUGCCGAAUUCCGGGACGAGAAAAAACUCGGGACUGGCGCAAGGAAGAUCCCUCAUUCCAGAACCAGAACUGCGGGUCGCGGUAAUAAAGGUUCCCGUAAAGCAGACUGUUAAGAAGGAUUCAACUGUAUGAAUUCAGAACUUUUCAGCUGGGGAACGAGAGUACCAGUGAAUACAGCUUUACGAGGUAAGUCUGGUCUUGAACUUUCUAAGGAAAUUCAAGACAGUCUAUCAGAAGUAAAGUGGAAUAUGUUUGGCCUUGAAUUUUUUCUGGUGUUAGGAGCCCUUUUGUUCCUUUUCACAUGUUAUCAAGUGAUUAAGAUAGGGCUGAAAAUUCUAGAGGAAAUUCAGGACAAGCUAUCAGAAGUAAAGUGGGGAGAGAGAGUAGGAACAAAGAGGAAAUAUGGUACACAAAAUAAGUAUACAGGCCUUUCCAAGGGUCUUGAACCCGAGGAAAAGUUAAGGUUAGGUAGGAAUACCUGGAGAGAGAUUAGAAGAAAAAGAGGAAAAAGGGAAAA